UCACGUCGCCUCGUCUUCCCGCUGGCGGUGUUCCGGGUGGAGAAGUCGGCGCGGCAGGUUUCGUCCCUCGUCAGCGACAUUUAAAUCGUCCUGGCAACGUCGAGGCCGACCGCGAGCACGGACAUGAGGGUGCAGACCCUCUCCAGAGAUCAGAUCCUGCAGGCCCUGGCCGGGCGCUGCCGGGCGCUGGCGGCCGACGACAACCGCGGCUUCAGGCGGGAGUUCGAGGAGCUGGAGGAGGUCGGCAGGGAGCUGGCGGCGCGGGCCGGCGUCGCCGGGGGCAACCGGGAG